rnacentral:misc_RNA from 1 species
AACGCACAUUGCGCCCGCCAGCACUCUGGCGGGCAUGCCUGUCCGAGCGUCACUACAACCCUCGUGCCCCCUCCGGGGGGCGCGGCGUUGGACGUCGGCGAGCCGCCACGCCCCUCCGGGGGCUGGCGACGCCGUGUCCCAAAUCCAGUGGCGGCCCCGCCGCGCCUUCCCCUGCGUAGUACUGCACAUCGCACUGGAGGGAGCGGCCCGGCCACGCCGUAAAACCCCCGACCUUCUCACGGUUGACCUCGGAUCAGGUAGGACUACCCGCUGAACUUAA